rnacentral:rRNA from 1 species
GACGGAGGGUGCUAGCGUUGUUCGGAAUUACUGUGCGUAAAGGGCGCGUAGGCGGCCUGAUCAGUCUGGUGUGAAAGCCCGGGGCUCAACCCCGGAACGGCACCCGAGACGGUCAGGCUGGAGACCGGGAGAGGAGGGUGGAAUAGCCAGUGUAGAGGUGAAAUUCGUAGAUAUUGGCUGGAACACCGGUGGCGAAAGCGGCUCUCUGGCCCGGUUCUGACGCUGAGGCGCGAAAGCGUGGGGAGCAAACAGG